CCCAGCAGAGGACAUGGCCUUGGAGCUAAAUAAAGGCAGGCCCGUCUUAGAGGGGAUCCCUGGGGGGAAAGAGACGAGCAUAGGUUCCUCCCAAGAUGCCACCCGCUUCAUUCAAGUGUCUGGCAGCACUGUGUUCCUGUUAGAGCCACCAGCACAAGCACCAGAC
rnacentral:lncRNA from 1 species